UUUCUUCUCUGCUGAUCUUCCCUGGAGCUGCUGCUGCUUCCCGUGGGGAAUACAGAUGAGGCUGGUGAUGCACCAGGAGCAGGCCAGGGGACUCUGAGAUGAUGACUCUUUGUCAUUGUGAAUAAUUCUCUCUGAAUUCUCAGGUUUCUGUUUGUGGGGACAUUCAUGGACAAUUCUUUGACUUGAUGAAGCUCUUUGAAGUCGGGGGAUCUCCUGCCAACACUCGCUACCUCUUCUUAGGGGACUAUGUUGACAGAGGGUACUUCAGUAUCGAAUGUGUGCUGUAUUUGUGGGCCUUGAAAAUUCUUUACCCCAAAACACUGUUUUUACUUCGUGGAAAUCAUGAAUGUAGACAUCUAACAGAGUAUUUCACAUUUAAACAAGAAUGUAAAAUAAAGUAUUCAGAACGCGUAUAUGACGCCUGUAUGGAUGCCUUUGACUGCCUUCCCCUGGCUGCCCUGAUGAACCAACAGUUCCUGUGUGUACAUGGUGGUUUGUCUCCAGAGAUUAACACUUUAGAUGAUAUCAGAAAAUUAGACCGAUUCAAAGAACCACCUGCAUAUGGACCUAUGUGUGAUAUC
rnacentral:sRNA from 1 species